ensembl:snoRNA
CUGCAUCUAUUUAACAGACUUGGAGCAGUUACUAUCUGCUGCUAAGGUUUCUACUAAUGAUGCAAGAAAAAAGUAUCCUUAUAGUUUCUGUUUGAUUGUGGCAGCCACAACUGAAUGGGAUAAUACAGGC